rnacentral:lncRNA from 1 species
GGCAACCUACCAAGGGGUAUCCUAAGGUAGGAGAUUGGUUGGUGGGGGAUCAUCGAACUUGAAACUCGAAGGUAAAAGCGAGGACACAAGACACAUAUUUAUAUAGGUUCGAGCCGCCAGAGUAGCGUAAUACCUAUGUCCUGUUUGGGGUAUUGUAUAUUGCGCCCUGCGCCUGGGUGUUGUUUGGUGUUGAGGAUUUGGUCCUCUGUUGUGGUUGUUGUGGUUCUAUGAGGCCUUUUUCUACCGAUCUAGGGACCUCUUCCCUCCUUUAUACACUCAGGGAGUGGGAUUACUAGUUGCUUACAAGGUAGGAAUCUCAGUAGGAUUAUAUGGUAUGAGUGCUAGUAGGAUUACAAAGGAAUCCUAGUAGGAGUCCGUUUUCUUCCUUGCUUGUGGGUACUGGGAAUCUAUCCCCGACAAGCCCUUCAAGCGCGUCAUAGUCGAAAGCAACAGCCUUGAGUACUUUUUAGGUCCUUGCUGAGUAGUUUUGGUGCUCUUUGAUUACUUCAUCUAGCUGAAUCUUCAAAGUUACUCAAAGCUGCCAUGAGGCUAUGGUGUGCUCAAGC